CAGACAUGGGUUCAAGCCUAGACUCAGGAUUUAUGAUCCGUGUGACCCAGGGCAAGUCACUUAUCUCUCUCAUUUCCUCACCUGAGAAAAGAGAACAGUGUGCCGGGAUAAGCAAGUGAAACCUGAUUUUGCUGGAUGUCAGGCAUGCAGUGGGUGCACAAUAAGUGGUCAUCUCUAAGAUAAAGAUGCUCAUCUUUGGCUGCUCAUCGUAGCUUGUGAGCUAGGCAGGGCAAAGGGUCACCGUCCCCAUGGACCAGAUGGGGAGUCUGGCUCAGUUCUCACUCCGCCCAGGGAGCCCAGUGGGCCCCAGUCCCCGCCGGGUGACGGCUGCGGGCCGACUCCCACCCAGCGCAGGAAUGCGGGGGCGCUGACGCCGGGCCUUUUCCGCUCGGGCUGCGCGGGCCGGCGACACAGCAGAUUCCCCGGCCACACCUGGCCGUGCAGCUGUCCGAGCUGGACCGGGUCGCGGAUUCCCCAGUCCUCCGGCCCCGGCCCCUGAGGGCACCGCCUUGACCCCAGCGCGCCCCUCGGGGGUCUACGCGCUGGCCAGCCCCACCCUUUAGUUACCCCUCCUUGUUUUGGGAGGGGGCUGGUCCUCUCCCACACCCAGGAAGGGGAGGGGUUCCCUGGCUCAGCCGUGCGAACACCCUGCUCAGAAUCCUUCGCGGGCAGAGGAAGACAGGGAGAGACCCCUCAGGGGCAACUCCUUGGUUUCAGAGUUCUGGGGGUCCGCGGAAAUUCAGCCCCUAGGAGAUUAAUCUGGUGACAACUGACAACACACACAAGUUUCCUUUACGACACGUGCAAGUUUAACCAACAGCACCAUGACGUGAGUCCCUGAGGAUGCCGAGAUGAGGGAAGUGAGGCUCAGAGAAGACUUGUGACCUGCAUCGGGUCCUCCCGAGCUGUCUGACUCCACGGCUCUGGUCCUUGCCUGCUGUUGGACCAUCCUGCCUCCCCCUGGAUGACCUGCCAGAGAGUGGACGCUGCUCUCUGGGGCCCGAGAGAGCGGGGGUCAGACUGGGGAGCCCACAGGUGCGUCUGGGUGGGCUUUGUUUUCGGAGGAGCUGGUUUCUCUGAAUCUGUCCUGAAUCUCCCCUUGCUGGAUCAGGAACUACCAUCGGCAGCUCAGACAGCCCAGCCACCGCUGUGCUGUGGAGACACACCAAGCCACAGGGGGCGAGGCCUGGCUCCCAGACUUAUUUGCUGUGUGACUGUCGGCACGCUGGCUUCCUGUUUGAACCUUCGUGUCCUCAACUGUUCAAAGAAGAUGAAGAUCCUCAUGUGUGGUUAAGGCGGUAACAGAUGGAAGGUUUUGUCUUUUGGAAGAACCUGGAGCAUUUGACGGGAAGAGUUUUCAAGAGUCUGGAUCACCGCUGUUAUUUUUCAUAUGUGCUCCCUUCCCUCCAGCUCCCUCUUUCCAGCUCCUUCCCUCUUUGUGCUUGGAUUUGAAGUGACAUAGAUUGGGUCGCAUAGUGACAUAGGACUGUUUUUCCAGUUGCUGUGUGACCUUGGACAAGUCCCUUAACCUCUCUGAACCUGUUUCCUCAACUGGCAAAUGAAAGGAUGACCUAAAAGAUCUCUGAGGGCCUUCCAGCUUUCUCCGUCUCAUCUCUCAAGCACCAGGCUCCUGUCUCACAGUCUCUUCUUAAAAGCAACUUUACUGGGCGAAAAGAACACUGGGAUGAGAAUCAGAGAGACCUGCUGGAAUCCAAUUUGCACCGGGACUAGCUCUGUGAACUUGGGCAAGUUGCUUAACCUCUCUGAGUUUCUACUUCCUCGUCUGUAGAAUGGGGAUCCUGAUACCUGACCCCUGGAUCUGGAGCAAGGCUUAAAUGAGAUCUUGUCCAUAAAGCAUUUGGUGUCUGGCACUAAAUGGAUAUGCUAAAGAAAUGUUGC
rnacentral:lncRNA from 1 species